ensembl:snoRNA LOC120094904 small nucleolar RNA SNORA48
CACACACACAAUGGGCAAAGAGACACCUUGUUGGUGGUGAUGUUCUUUUAUUAGUCAGGGGCAGAGCAGAUGGUGGUCCUUUGUUUAUCUCAGCUUGAUACCUGGCUUGGUGUUCAAAGCUGUUUGAUGCCUAGGACUCAUAA